UACAGAGGGGGCAAGCGUUAUUCGGAAUUAUUGGGCGUAAAGGGCGCGUAGGCGGCUUCGCAAGUGACGGGUGAAAUCCCUCGGCUUAACCGAGGAACUGCCUGUCAGACUGCAUGGCUUGAGACCAGGAGAGGUGAGUGGAAUUCCCAGUGUAGCGGUGAAAUGCGUAGAUAUUCGGAAGAACACCAGUGGCGAAGGCGACUACCUGGCCUGUUCUUGACGCUGAGGCGCGAAAGCUAGGGGAGCAAACGGG
rnacentral:rRNA from 1 species